rnacentral:rRNA from 1 species
UACGUAGGGGGCUAGCGUUGUCCGGAAUUAUUGGGCGUAAAGAGCUCGUAGGCGGCCUGUUGCGUCCGCUGUGAAAGCCCGGGGCUUAACCCCGGGUCGGCAGUGGAUACGGGCAGGCUAGAGGUAGGUAGGGGAGAAUGGAAUUCCCGGUGUAGCGGUGAAAUGCGCAGAUAUCGGGAGGAACACCGGUGGCGAAGGCGGUUCUCUGGACAGUUCCUGACACUGAGACACGAAGGCCAGGGGAGCAAACGGG